UCAAGAAACUUUGGCAAUGCACGAAAGUGUGACCAAGCGACGCCGCGUGAUUGAUGAAGCCCUUCGGGGUGUAAAGAUCUUUUAUGCAUGAGAAAAUUAUUGAUGUUAGUGCAUGAAUAAGGGGCUCCUAACUCUGUGCCAGCAGGAGCGGUAAUACAGAGGCCCCGAGCGUUAUCCGGAAUUAUUGGGCGUAAAGGGUGCGUAGGUGGUUUUAUUAGUCGAAUUUCAAAGAUCUGGGCUCAACCCAGGG
rnacentral:rRNA from 1 species